CCCUAGCCCCGAUUGACGUGGAAAUCCUUUGAAAUGAAACAAAGUGGAAUUUCAAAGAUUGGAACAAAAAGCGGGAAACAGC
rnacentral:sRNA from 1 species